UAAAAAUUUAAAACUUGGAAACAUUUUAAUAGUGUAAACAUAAGUGCAGCGCAUCAGUGGAUGAAAAGGCAUCAAAAACUUAUUCUUCGAACCGACAGAUGCAGCUAUAGCAGAACGACCAUUUAAGUCAACACAUUCAAAGGCAAUAAAAUUCAUAACACCAAA
rnacentral:lncRNA from 1 species